GACGAACGCUGGCGGCGUGCUUAACACAUGCAAGUCGAACGGAAAGGCCCUGCUUUUGUGGGGUGCUCGAGUGGCGAACGGGUGAGUAACACGUGAGUAACCUGCCCUUGACUUUGGGAUAACUUCAGGAAACUGGGGCUAAUACCGGAUAGGAGCUCCUGCUGCAUGGUGGGGGUUGGAAGGUUUCGGGGGUUGGGGAUGGACUCGCGGAUUAUCAGCUUGUUGGUGGGGUAGUGGCUUACCAAGGCUUUGACGGGUAGCAGGCCUGAGAGGGUGACCGGCCACAUUGGGACUGAGAUACGGCCCAGACUCCUACGGGAGGGAGCAGUGGGGAAUAUUGCACAAUGGGCGGAAGCCUGAUGCAGCAACGCCGCGUGCGGGAUGACGGCCUUCGGGUUGUAAACCGCUUUCGCCUGUGACGAAGCGUGAGUGACGGUAAUGGGUAAAGAAGCACCGGCUAACUACGUG
rnacentral:rRNA from 1 species